rnacentral:lncRNA from 1 species
UAGGGGAAAGCGGUCUAGAAAGAAGAACCACGGGGCAAGAGCGAUGUUGAAAAUGAAGGAAGGAGUGAGAAGAAAAAAAAAAAAAAACGGAGGAGAAAGAACAAGGGAGAAACGGCGAGAAAAAGAGCGCGGGCGCCGCCAUCCGCCGCUCGGCUCCUCGCUCCGGCUCGCCAAGGCGACCGGGCAACUGCUGCAGCCCGUAGCUGCUUUUAAGUGGUCUGGUGUAGGGCAGACUUUGUGUGUGUUUAAACCAUAACCGGACCUGGGAGCCUCAAACCCUGAACGCACGAACCCCUAUUUUACAAAGCGCUUGGGUGCACAGUACACGGCGGCUUCGGCACGCCCGCUGCUCCCGCUACCGCUGCGCCCGCGCGCGGCCCACUUGGAAAGGAGCAAGAAUCCAUUAAAUGUGGUAGGGGUCCCCCUGCUUGUUCUUAUAGGCAACACAGCUGCUCCUGAUCUUGGAUCUGUAGACUUCAGCGACGUUAGCGGUUGCCUGAAACACGUUGCCCUGAAGUUGUGCACAAAGUUUUUCGAGUGCGCUGCAUUUCAUUCAAUCUAGUAAGGAGCCGCUGGCCUUGCCCGUAGCACAUUCUUGUAAAUAGCUCUCUUUCUGUUUCCGUCUUAACUCCAUUAUUUUUUUUUCUGGGUUCUAUUUGUCAUUUUCUCUAUAAGCCCAGCUUUUAAUUUUUGCAGUUAGAAGCUAUAUUGUUUCAUAAAUUUUCAGGAUAGCCUAUUAAUUUUAUGCUUCCAUAAUGGGAACUGUGCAGAAAUAAUUUUGUAUAUGAAACUCUUUAAAUAAUAAUGUAGGUUUUUUGUUUGUUUGUGCAUGUGUAUGUUUGUUGUUGAAUUCUCCACAGCUUUGUAGAACAGUUCAUGAUGAGCAAAGCCUCGGGCAGAAGAGGCAAUCCUGGUCUUUAUGGACGUCUCCCAGCCCUAGAGAAAAACACAGUCUUACUUGAAAAUAGUGAUUUUUAAGAUUUCUUGAUGAUAAUGAAAUUUUAUAAAAAUGCCAUGCCCUCAAAGGUAACAGUGUACUCAUUUUGAAGGGUGAUGGUUUUAAAACUGGGCCCCUCAUGCUGGAUGUAUUUGUCUAAUGUUACUACCCUGAUUUUUCCAUUUCCCUUGGAGAGUGUUAUGUGCAUGUAUAUAUUAUUAAGACCUAUUUAAAAUCUUCUCUACGUGAGCUAGUGAGAACUGAAGGAGAUGCUUUCUCUUGCUUGUCAAUUGAUUGUGAGGGUGGACAUGAGGAUGCCCUUGUGCUGUAGAGAGCGAGUGCUGCUUGUAAUUACCUCAGCUGGCACUGCAGCCGGCAUCUAGCCGGCAGGGCCUCACAGCCGGCCGCGGCCACGGCUCUCACAUUACUCGCAGGUGGUGGUGAUGCUGCAGAAGUUCUGCUGCCGCGGUGCCUGUGCUCUGGGGCUCAUUUCCAUCCAGGAGCGCAUCUCUGGAUUCUGGCACUGCCCUGAGUGGGCUGGAAGGCAGGUUUUUGCUUGCAUCUGCCGGGUUAGCACAGCCCCGGGAGAAUCUGCCUGUGGAUUCGUUUCACUGGCAGAAGCUGGGGAAAGUUUACCGUGCCUGCUCACCGUGUAGGAGACUGAGCAGCUCUUUGAAGGGUAUAGGAUCUUGUUCCCAGUCACCCUGGGCACUUGUUCACACCCCAGACAUGGUUGGUACUUACUGUGUGCUGUGUAUCCUGAAGAUGAAAUCAGCGCAGAGCCAGCCAGCUCUCCCAUCGGACCCAGCCCUCUCCUGUUACACUUCAUCCAGGGUAUACCUGAGUGAGAGGUCAGAGUGGAGAAACCCAUUCUCAUGCCCCAGGUUUCAAGCUUAUGUCACCUUGUGUUCUCUAUAGCCCCUUCUGACUAACUAGCACCUUGGAAAUGCUUGUGCAUGUGUGUGUCACGGGGUGGUUGCUUGAAUGUCAGCCAUCUUGACACAUCUGAUUCUCUAGUAAUGGCUCCUGAGUAUGGCCCAUGUGGAAUAUGAUGGCACGCCUGUUUAUCUUUAAGGAUAAUUGUUCUGGAUGAAGCAUUAACCCCCAAAGAGGCCAAGUCAGGAUCCCACUAGACGUGGAAAGCCAUGGUUUUGGUUUUGAGGGCUUUGUUCCCCCAAGUAUUAUUUUAACCAUUUUGGUGUUCCAUCAUGCUGUCUUCUGGCAUCACAAAGGCAAAGGGCAUGGUACGCCAUCUCCAGGAGCUGUGCUGACAGCCAGCUUUAAUGAAGCCAAUUCUAAUCCCAAGCCUGCAGUUUAGUUGUCUGCCUAGUAAACAACUGCAGUGAGAGGACUCACUAGCGCCCCCUAUUGGGCUAGAAGGACAUAGCCGGUAUUUUUCCACAGCACAGCCAUCUGUGAAGGAAAACAUCAAUAUUCGUUUGUACAGCAAUGCCUUUUUUCUUUUUCUUUCUCUUCUCUUCUUUUCUUUUUUUUCUUUUGCUUUUAUGUGUUUAACUACUUACCUGGAAUUCUGGAAUUUAGAAAAAUAAGAAACAAACAAGAAAUGAUACCAAUUCAUUUUGUUUAAGAAAAAACAUUUUUUUUUCUUCAAAAAAAUAUUAUUAAAGUUGUAGAAAAUCUG